rnacentral:SRP_RNA from 1 species
GCCAGGCAUGGUGGUGUGUGCCUGUAGUCCCAGUAUUUGGGAGGCUGAGGUGGGAGGAUCACUUGAGCCCAGGAGUUCUGGGCUGUAGUGUGCCAUGCCGAUCGGGUGUCUGCACUAAGUUCGGCAUCAAUAUGGUGACCUCCCAGGAUCGGGGGACCAUCAGGUUGCCUAAGGAGGGGCGAACCGGCCCAGGUCAGAAACAGAGCAGGUUAAAACUCCCAUGCCGAUCAAUAGUGGGAUUGCGCUUAUGAAUAGCCACUGCACUCCAGCCUGGGCAACAUAAAAAAAAAAAGCUACAU